rnacentral:rRNA from 1 species
UACGUAGGCAGCGAGCGUUGUUCGGAGUUACUGGGCGUAAAGGGUGUGUAGGCGGUUUUCUAAGUUUGGUGUGAAAUCUCCCGGCUUAACCGGGAGGGUGCGCCGAAAACUGGGAGACUAGAGUGCGGGAUGGGAGAGUAGAAUUCCUGGUGUAGCGGUGAAAUGCGUAGAUAUCAGGAGGAAUACCGGUGGCGAAGGCGGGACCCUGGGCCGAUACUGACGCUGAGGAGCGAAAGCGUGGGGAGCGAACAGG